UGCCCAGCAACUCCUCUCCCUACCUCCUCGUGGUACCGGCCGGAAACUAUGAGCAACCUUAGGGAAGAUCGGCUAACCAACCCCGGUGGGAAUUUUGGUCAUAGGCUGACAGGGAAGG
rnacentral:ribozyme from 1 species